rnacentral:rRNA from 1 species
GAUGAACGCUGGCGGCGUGCCUAAUACAUGCAAGCCGAGCGAACGGACGAGAAGCUUGCUUCUCUGAUGUUAGCGGCGGACGGGUGAGUAACACGUGGAUAACCUACCUAUAAGACUGGGAUAACUUCGGGAAACCGUAGCUAAUACCGGAUAAUAUUUUGAACCGCAUGGUUCAAAAGUGAAAGACGGUCUUGCCGUCACUUAUAGAUGGAUCCGCGCUGCAUUAGCUAGUUGGUAAGGUAACGGCUUACCAAGGCAACGAUGCAUAGCCGACCUGAGAGGGUGAUCGGCCACACUGGAACUGAGACACGGUCCAGACUCCUACGGGAGGCAGCAGUAGGGAAUCUUCCGCAAUGGGCGAAAGCCUGACGGAGCAACGCCGCGUGAGUGAUGAAGGUCUUCGGAUCGUAAAACUCUGUUAUUAGGGAAGAACAUAUGUGUAAGUAACUGUGCACAUCUUGACGGUACCUAAUCAGAAAGCCACGGCUAACUACGUG